rnacentral:lncRNA from 10 species
GCAGAUUUACAAUUCUUCAAGCUAAAAGCCCACUUGAAUAUUUGGAAAGAUUCAGCAUUGAGGUGUAUGUGUAUACAUAAUAGGUAGGUGGCAGUCUAGUAAGAUUUAACGAUACUGUCUGACUGGAGCUGGAAAGCAGUGAGUAUGGCUGCUAUCGGAGAGGAGAGAGAAAAUCAAUCUCUGUGGGCUGCUAUUAUCCAGAAGAAAUGGAGAGCUCCCAAUGACCAGGCAUUCCACCGAGCAACAGGGCUUACUUGCCUCUGCUCUCAUUGAAAACCACACAGAGCAUGCAACACUUUGCUCACUCCAAAACUUUAUGACUUUCUUCAAUUUCAAGCAAUGUUGAAUGCUGACUCAAUAAGAUACAACCAAAACAACUUGUU